UCGAACGACGGGUGUCGUUGAAAUACAGUUCAGUCCAGUUGGAGAGAACAAAAAAAGUGGAGAAGUAUAUAGGCUUUUUGAUGUUGGAGGUCAGAGAAAUGAGAGAAGAAAGUGGAUACAUUUAUUUGAAGGUGUAACAGCAGUUAUAUUUUGUGCCGCUAUUAGCGAGUAUGAUCAAACUCUAUUUGAGGAUGAAAGAAAGAACCGAAUGAUGGAGACCAAGGAACUCUUUGAGUGGGUCUUGAAACAACCAUGUUUUGAG
rnacentral:misc_RNA from 1 species